UACGUAGGGGGCAAGCGUUGUCCGGAUUUACUGGGCGUAAAGAGCGUGUAGGCGGCCAGGCAGGUCUGUUGUGAAAACUGGAGGCUUAACCUCCAGACGUCGACAGAAACCGUCUGGCUAGAGUCCGGAAGAGGAGAGUGGAAUUCCUGGUGUAGCGGUGAAAUGCGCAGAUAUCAGGAAGAACACCAAUGGCGAAGGCAGCUCUCUGGGACGGUACUGACACUGAGACGCGAAAGCGUGGGGAGCGAACAGG
rnacentral:rRNA from 1 species